rnacentral:lncRNA from 1 species
UUUUUCCAUUUUGUUGUGUCUUUGUUGUCAUUUACAUUGUUACAAAUUAUUUUAAGUUGGUUUGUUGUCUUUUUUCUGUUCUGAUUUUUCGUAUGCUCUAUUUGUAAAUCCCUUGAUCACUAUUACAAGGGUAGAGAUCUAUAAAAACUUAUUUGUCCCUUUCUUAUGUUUAUAUGCCUGUCCUAAUUCAUAAUCCUCUUCGAUGGUUGUCUUUUGAAAUAUCUAUAUGUUUAAGAUACUUAGAAAGUUGGAUAUGGAGAAGAUUUUUAAUUGGAUUUUAAUUAUUCUGUGAAUUCAUACACAACCAUUUCAGACUUUGGACAAUAAAGAGCUUUCAUAUUGCAUAAACACCUGUCACUUGUUAAAGAAU